rnacentral:lncRNA from 1 species
CCCACCUUGACAGUGUCUUCUGCCUGAUUGCUGAGGACUAUGGACGUCUAAGGAUCUCUCGAGUUUCUGCAGUUUGCAACAGACCUCCCCAGUGAGUGAAGAAGCGGAGAUCACGCAGCAAGUUUGGUUCCCCUCUGUACAACAAUACACAAGCCAGCUCUUCGCACAUGAAGCACAAAGCAGAAGCCACACGUGCCUGCUAUACCCCAUUUGACAUCUUCACAGCAUGACUGAUGCUAGCUGGCCUUUGAAACACAGGCAGCUGUGACACAGGGCCACCCCAGCAGCUCUCCUGUCCUGCUUCCAUUCCAGCUCCAUGCAUUCAUUCAGAGCAGCCAGCCUGCUCCUAAUACCAUGGCUAUGGCUUCAGCCAGCCAGAAGUCAUCUAAGUUUGCCUCCUGUGACACUGAGUCAUAGAGAAAAGGAAGAUCUUGAUUCACUGUCUCAUAGGAAGCACUCUGGCUCCAGGCUUUCUUGGGCAUUUCCUCACUUAAACACCAGUUCAGCAAAGCAUUUGAAUAGAGCUCAUUCAGCUGCUGUCUACACCUCACCACUCCCCACUGUAUGACAGUGAAUGUUCUCAUGGUGCUGAUGGUUGUUUCUUGAAGAAGUGUCAGCUAUAUGAGGUGGAGUCGGUUGCUUUGGUGUUCCCUAUUCAAGAAAAAUGUUAAAAAUACUUCAUUAAAAAUCAUGACUCUGGUGGCAGAAGCUUUCUUCCUUUUCAUCUUUUGCAAGCUUUGUCUGCUGAGUAGUGUGGAAAUGUGCAUGAAUGAUGGAGAGAGGCACUUCUUUGUCCACUACCAAAAGAAAUGCAACAUUCUGGGGAAAAAAGAAAAUACGGUGUUGCUUCCAUCAGUAAAUGAAACUUCAGAAGAGGACUCUCACACACAUCGUUUUGGAGGAAAUUUUCCACUUUUUUUGGAGGCGCUGGACAGGUCUGCCUUGGCCUUGGUACAAAAAUGUCUCAGCUCUCCAAAACUGCCCUGGAAACAUCACUAGAAUGGCCCUUUCCUGUGAGAUUUCAGCUCCCUGCUGGGUUGACAAUGCAGCCAGACUCGGUGGGAUUUCCCCAGCACUGUGUCCUGCUGUGGCUGCACAGUACUUAACUCUAAGGCUCCUCCUGAGCAGACGUAGAAUCUACAAAGACCGAGGUCAACUUAAAUACCCAACAUUUUCACAAUCAAGUGCUUUACUAAUGAGACUUCCUAGGGAACAGGAAGCAAAAGAAGAGUCUUGGUGA